UACGGGGGGGGCAAGCGUUGUUCGGAAUUACUGGGCGGAAAGGGUUCGUAGGUGGCCAAAUAAGUCAGACGUGAAAUCCCUCAGCUUAACUGGGGAACUGCGUCUGAUACUGGAUGGCUUGAGUUUGGGAGAGGGAUGCGGAAUUCCAGGUGUAGCGGUGAAAUGCGUAGAUAUCUGGAGGAACACCGGUGGCGAAGGCGGCAUCCUGGACCAACACUGACACUGAGGAGCGAAAGCCAGUGGAGCAAACGGG
rnacentral:rRNA from 1 species